ACUGGGGCUAAUACCGGAUAGGCAAUUAUUCCUGCAAUGGUUUUUUGUUUAAAUGUUUUUUCGCCUAAGGAUGGGUCUGCGGCCGAUUAGGUAGUUGGUUAGGUAAUGGCUUACCAAGCCGUUGAUCGGUACGGGUUGUGAGAGCAAGAGCCCGGAGAUGGAACCUGAGACAAGGUUCCAGGCCCUACGGGGUGCAGCAGGCGCGAAACCUCCGCAAUGUGAGAAAUCGCGACGGGGGGAUCCCAAGUGCCAUUCUUAACGGGAUGGCUUUUCAUUAGUGAAAGAGCUUUUGGAAUAAGAGCUGGGCAAGACCGGUGCC
rnacentral:rRNA from 1 species